rnacentral:lncRNA from 1 species
CUGCACUUCCAUAUAGGAGCAAGACACCUAUGACUCUCAGUUUCUGCAUCCUCAUAUCUCCUACACACCAUCUUUUUCUGAACAAACAUUUAUUAAGGGUUGGCUGUAAAAUAAAUUCAAUUAUCUUUGGUAAGUAGAAAAUUAAGAGCAAUUCAUCUGAUAAAUGUUUAUAAGCAUAUAUUUUUGAGCCACUCUAACCUGGAUUUGUAGUGGGAGGAAAGUGGUGGUAGUUAAGAAUGUGGGCUCUUAUAUUAGACUGCUCAGGUUCAAUCUCAUCUCUACCACUCACUAUCUGUGUGACUUAGGACAAGUUACCUAAACUCUCUGUGUCUCCAUUUCCUCAUCAAUAAAGUGGGUCAAUAAUAGUACCCAUACCUCAUACAGUUGCUAAGAUCUAAUGGA